GUCUACAGCCAUACCACCCUGAACACACCCGAUCUCAUCUGAUCUCAGAAGCUAAGCAGGGUCGGGCAUGGUUAGUACCUGGAUGGGAGAGCGCCUGGGAAUACCAGGUGCUGUAGGCU
rnacentral:rRNA from 1 species